AACGAACGCUGGCGGCAGGCCUAACACAUGCAAGUCGAGCGGAUGAAGAGAGCUUGCUCUCUGAUUUAGCAGCGGACGGGUGAGUAAUGCCUAGGAAUCUGCCUGGUAGUGGGGGAUAACGUUCCGAAAGGAACGCUAAUACCGCAUACGUCCUACGGGAGAAAGCAGGGGACCUUCGGGCCUUGCGCUAUCAGAUGAGCCUAGGUCGGAUUAGCUAGUUGGUGAGGUAAUGGCUCACCAAGGCUACGAUCCGUAACUGGUCUGAGAGGAUGAUCAGUCACACUGGAACUGAGACACGGUCCAGGCUCCUACGGGAGGCAGCAGUGGGGAAUAUUGGACAAUGGGCGAAAGCCUGAUCCAGCCAUGCCGCGUGUGUGAAGAAGGUCUUCGGAUUGUAAAGCACUUUAAGUUGGGAGGAAGGGCAGUAAGUUAAUACCUUGCUGUUUUGACGUUACCGACAGAAUAAGCACCGGCUAACUUCGUGCCAGCCGCCGCCGUAAUAC
rnacentral:rRNA from 1 species